ACCGGCGCACGGGUGGGUAACACGUAUGCAACCUACCUUCCACAGGAGGAUAACCCGUUGAAAGACGGGCUAAUACUCCAUAACACAGGGGUCCCGCAUGGGAAUAUUUGUUAAAGAUUUAUCGGUUGUAGAUGAGCAUGCGUUCCAUUAGCUAGUUGGUGAGGUAACGGCCCACCAAGGCAACGAUGGAUAGGGGAACUGAGAGGUUUAUCCCACACUGGUACUGAGACACGGACCAGACUCC
rnacentral:rRNA from 1 species